CCCAUUGAUAAUGAUGAGAUGGUAUCCUUUAUUCUGAAUGGUUUAGAUUUUGAGUAUAACCCUAUUGUAUCUUCUAUUCUUGGUCGGAUAGAUCCAAUCAGUAUUAAUGAUCUGUAUGCCCAAAUCAUGGCAUUUGAGA